rnacentral:rRNA from 1 species
UGCGCCUUGCCAGCCCGCUCAGAAACUUAAAGGAAUUGACGGGGGCCCGCACAAGCAGUGGAGCAUGUGGUUUAAUUCGAUGAUACGCGAGGAACCUUACCUGGGCUCAAAUGUAUGUUGACGUAUUCUGAAAGGGAUACUUCUUCGGACAAUAUACAAGGUGCUGCAUGGUUGUCGUCAGCUCGUGCCGUGAGGUGUCGGGUUAAGUCCCAUAACGAGCGCAACCCCUAUCAUUAGUUGCCAUCAGGUCAAGCUGGGGACUCUAAUGAAACUGCCUACGCAAGUAGUGAGGAAGGUGGGGAUGACGUCAAAUCAGCACGGCCCUUACGUCCAGGGCUACACACGUGUUACAAUGGCCAGUACAGAGGGCAGCCACCCCGCGAGGGGGCGCUAAUCCUAAAAGCUGGUCCCAGUUCGGAUCGGAGUCUGCAACCCGACUCCGUGAAGCUGGAUUCGCUAGUAAUCGCGCAUCAGCCACGGCGCGGUGAAUACGUUCCCGGGCCUU